CUAGAAACUUGUCAAGUGUCCAACAGACACAGGGUCUCCCUAUGUUGCCCAGGCUGGUAUCGAACUCUGUUGCCCAGGCUGGUAUUGAACUCCUGCGCUCAAGUGAUCCUCCUGCCUCAGCCUCCCAAAAUGCUGGGAUUACAGGUACAGGGUGAACUCCGAGACCAUCUCUCCUAUUCAUUUACAUCCUCAGAACUUAGCACGAUGUCUGACCAUAGUGGAUUUUCAAUAAGUAACUAUGGGUUGACAUGCAGGCUGGACAUACAGUGGGCCUCGAUUGCUUAGAAGCCAAACUGAACUCACCAAGAAAAGAAGACAGGAGAAACUUCUCAAGAGGAAUAUCUCCAAAUUGCAGGAUCGAAUACCAUAAGAGGAAUUCUGGACUGAAGAGUUAUGAAGUCAUUUCAGACACUUCCAGACAAUUUGUGUUAAUUAAAUUCUCACUGGUUGAGUUCCAUUCUACACUGGAAGAGCAUUUUUCCUGGAAAGGCUCCUCAAAAUGGACACCAUCAAGAGUCACCUCCUCAGUGAAGCCUUCCAUGGUUUCAUACCACCCAUCCCUAUCGGAAUGAAUGUAUCCUUGUUCUCCGUUAUCCCAGUAUUUUGCCUGGGCUUCUGUCACACUACUUUCAAUGUCUAUACCUCAGUUAUCGAAUCGAAAAACAAGAGUCAUCAGUCUCUAAGGUCCUUGCAAGCUUCAAAACUUUAUAUUUUUGUCAAUUACAACUGAAUAAAGCUGAACAACUUA
rnacentral:lncRNA from 10 species